GAUAACUUGUCAGGUUUCUAAAUUGGACCUGGAUUUGAAUUUCCCUGGCACUAGAAAUGACUCUCAUUCAGUGUUCUGGUUUGGAUCCAUCUUACAAUGGUGGAUCUCUCUGCAGAAGCAGUGGGAGCAGAAGGCAGAAGUUCUUGAGUUCCAACUGCCGCUGUGACACA